rnacentral:RNase_P_RNA from 1 species
GCGGGGGGCCGGACGGCCGCGGGGUCAGCCCCGAGGAAAGUCCGGACUCCACGAAGCGACGGUGCCGGGUAACGCCCGGGCGGGGACCGGCGGGGCAACCCACCGGGAACUCGACGGAAAGCGCCACAGAAAACAGACCGCCCUGCAUGCAGGGUCAGGGUGAAACGGUGGGGUAAGAGCCCACCGGGGGGCUGGCAACAGCGCCCGCAUGGCAAGCCCCACCGGGAGCAAUGCCGAAUAGGGACCCCAGGCCGCCCGCAGGGGCGGCAGAGGCGCUUCGCCUUCGGGGUCCGGGUUGGCAGCUUGAGGCCCGAAGCGAUUCGCGGCCCAGAUGAAUGGUCGUCACCGGGGGCAACCCCGGCACAGAAUCCGGCUUACAGGCCCCCCGCGCAC